CCUACGGGUGGCUGCAGUAGGGAAUAUUGCUCAAUGGGGGAAACCCUGAAGCAGCAACGCCGCGUGGAGGAUGAAGGUUUUCGGAUUGUAAACCCCUUUUGUCAGAGAAGAAAAUGACGGUAUCUAACGAAUAAGCACCGGCUAACUACGUGCCAGCAGCCGCGGUAAUACGGAGGGUGCAAGCGUUACUCGGAAUCACUGGGCGUAAAGGGCGCGUAGGCGGGAUUGCAAGUCAGAUGUGAAAUCCUAUGGCUUAACCAUGGGACUGCAUUUGAAACUGUUAUUCUAGAGUAUAGGAGAGGUAGGUGGAAUUCUUGGUGUAGGGGUAAAAUGCGUAGAGAUCAAGAGGAACACUCAUUGCGAAGGCGGCCUGCUAGAACAUAACUGACGCUGAUGCGCGAAAGCGUGGGGAGCAAACAGGAUUAGAUACCCCAGUAGUC
rnacentral:rRNA from 1 species